UCCAGGUCAACGUUCGGACCAUCUGCAGGCUGCAGCAACGUUUCCGGGCCACCAACACCACAAAUGAUCGCCCCUGUACUGGCAGACAAGGGUGGCCACAAGACGACAAGACUGCCAUGUACAGAAA